rnacentral:misc_RNA from 1 species
GAUGAAGAACGUAGCGAAAUGCGAUAAGUAAUGUGAAUCGCAGAAUUCAGUGAAUCAUCGAAUCUUUGAACGCACAUUGCGCCCGCCAGUAUUCUGGCGGGCAUGCCUGUCCGAGCGUCAUUUCAACCAUCAAGCCCCGGGCUUGUGUUGGGGACCUGCGUCCGACGCAGGCCCUGAAAACCAGUGGCGGGCUCGCUGUCCACACCGAGCGUAGUAACUAACCUCGCUAUGGAGUGGCGCGGGCGCCUGCCGUAAAACCCCCAAUUUCACAAGGUUGACCUCGGAUCAGGUAGGAAUACCCGCUGAACUUAAGCAUAUCAAUAAGCGGAGGA